rnacentral:rRNA from 1 species
UACGUAGGGUGCAAGCGUUGUCCGGAAUUAUUGGGCGUAAAGAGCUCGUAGGCGGUUUGUCGCGUCUGCUGUGAAAACUCGGGGCUUAACCCCGGGCCUGCAGUGGGUACGGGCAGACUAGAGUGCGGUAGGGGAGACUGGAAUUCCUGGUGUAGCGGUGAAAUGCGCAGAUAUCGUAAGGAAGACCAGUGGCGAAGGCGGGUCUCUGGACAGUUCCUGACGCUGAGGCGCGAAGGCCAGGGGAGCAAACGGG